UCCGUGGCCCAGGACUGAGAGCUGCAUUCACAUCUUCUGGAAUCUGAAUCACUUCCUUAACUACAGUGUUUUCCAGACUUCACAUCACAACAGAAAUGUUUGGGAAACUCUCCACUCCUUGUGAUCCAGACAUGCAGCUGGGCUGUGGGGAGGUGGACAUGAUUUGAACUCCCACAUCAUCCUCUGCCAGGGCAUUUGCAAAUACAGUGGGAUGCGUAGGAGAAAAUCAAGAGAGUUCCUAGGCUGGAAAGUGUCUGAUACAGCUAAUUCACCACCAGGGGAUCCAGAAGUACCAACAUCUGUGGGUGCAACUAAUUCCAAAAUUGGGAUAUGAAAUACUUACCAGUCCUCCACACCCACAGCACAGCACCUGAAAGGAAGGAACGGCUGGCCCACCAUCUGGGAGAGCACAGAAGGAGGAGAAACACAGCCUCAGGACUUCUACCAUUUUCACACUUUUGUAUGUAGAAUCUCCCAAACUGUUUUCAUUUGUUCACAAAACCCGGAUGAGAUGUCCUGGAGGAUAUCGUGAACAAUGAAGUCAGGGUUCAAUUAACGUGAAAGCCAAGGCAGGAUUGUAUCUAACCAAUCAAUGGAGAAAGCACAGAUGGGUAAGGGGAGUUUUAAAAGAAGGCAGUAGAAAACAAAAAGUUGCUAUGAGGGAAAGAAUGAAGAUUGCUAGAUGCAGAAGAUUUUCAAAUUCUGUUUCCACUCAUCCUUGUUUUCUUCCCUCACUCACAUCUUGAAGACAGAUGUCUGAUUUGUUCCUGCUGGGUUUGAAAUGCUGCAGUACAAGCUGAAGAACAUGCUGAUAUCAAAUUCAUCCAGUAUAAAUUGUCAGAAAUCACUAGAAGGACACCUGAUUUGUAAAAGUGUAAAGUGUGCAGAAGUUAAUCUUGGGAUCUGAGGCUUCAUCCUUAGAACAUGUUAAUGUUGCCCCUUAAACUAUUACUUAACUAAAAAGCACAUGUGCGUCGAACACUGGCAAGAGGCUGAAUUGAACUUGUAGUGUCUUUUACAAAUGUUCUUUCCCUUUGCUGCUGUCUUGAGAUCAAAGACUUGCAAAAGGCAAUCUGUCUGUAAAGAACAGUUUGGGAGAUACAGAUAGCUCUUCUUUUACUGGUUCAAUUAUUUUUGGUCAUAAGUUUGAGGAAGGUUGACUCUUGUUGUGCGAGACUUCUACACUGAAGGCCUUUACCACAGAUACAGCAAAAUCCAUGUCAUUUUUGGACAAAUGUAUGACAGAAAAGUAGUGGCCGGCAGAGGAAUAUAUAAAAGUUGCAUUGGAUUGGAGGGGGGAAAGGCAUAGAACUCCUAAAGAUAUCUUUGCUAAUUCUUCAUAGCUCAGCUCUGUGAGGAGAUUGUGAGAGCUCUGGAUGCAGCCAGUGACUAAGCUAUGGAAAUAAUGGAAAAUGUCCUGCCGUGCUCUCUGUUGUUUUCUUGCACCUGUGGUACCACUGCAAACUACUGGUCAGCAAAGGACGGUUUAUUAAUGCUAAGAAAUAGUCUUAAUCCCAUGAUGUUUUCACACUGAAGAAAGUAUUCUUUACUCUCAUUGUCUCAUAAAUAAGGAGAAACUAUCAUAAAGGCUAUGAGGUGCUUCAAGAAAGA